rnacentral:rRNA from 1 species
ACAACUUUCAGCAACGGAUCUCUUGGCUCUCGCAUCGAUGAAGUGCGAAACGUAAUGUGAAUUGCAGAAUUCAGUGAAUCAUCGAAUCUUUGAACGCACCUUGCGCUCCUUGGUAUUCCGAGGAGCAUGCCUGUUUGAGUGUCAUGAA